AUCGCUUCUCGGCCUUUUGGCUAAGAUCAAGUGUAGUAUCGGUUCUUGGCAUGGGGAGGGGUGCAUCCCAGCUAAAGGUGCAUCAGGUUUUUCACUCCCCAUUGCUGGGUGGAGAGGAACUUGAUCCUCUGGCCAAGGGGCUGGCACUAGAAUGGAGCCUGUGAUAGCGCCCCAGGAUUU
ensembl:snRNA U2 U2 spliceosomal RNA